rnacentral:rRNA from 1 species
GUGUCAGCCGCCGCGGUAAUACGGAGGGUGCAAGCGUUAAUCGGAUUUAUUGGGCGUAAAGGGCAUGUAGGCGGGGUGGAAAGUUAGAUGUGAAAGCCCGGGGCUCAACUCCGGAUCCGCAUCUAAAACUUCCGCUCUAGAGGAUGGAAGGAGAAAAGGGAAUUCCACGUGUAGCGGUGAAAUGCGUAGAUAUGUGGAAGAACACCAGUGGCGAAGGCGCUUUUCUAUUUUAUUCCUGACGCUGAGAUGCGAAAGCAAGGGGAGCAAACAGGAUUAGAUACCCUGGUAGUCCUUGCUGUAAACGAUGUACACUUGAUGUAACUGGUCUCAACCCCAGUUGUGUCGAAGCUAACGCGUUAAGUGUACCGCCUGAGGAGUACGCUCGCAAGGGUGAA